UAAGGUGCCUCUGGUUAAAAGUAGUGCACUAUAUAGGGAAUAGGUUCAUGUUACAGACUCCAUGUGGGCCCUGGUCCAAGGUAGUGCACUAUAUAGGGAAUAGGUUCAUGUUACAGACUCCAUGUGGGCCCUGGUCCAAGGUAGUGCACUAUAUAGGGAGUAGGUUCAUGUUACAGACUCCAUGUGGGCCCUGGUCCAAGGUAGUGCACUAUAUAGGGAGUAGGUUCAUGUUACAGACUCCAUGUGGACCCUGGUCCAAGGUAGUGCACUAUAUAGGGAAUAGGUUCAUGUUACAGACUCCAUGUGGGCCCUGGUCCAAGGUAGUGCACUAUAUAGGGAGUAGGUUCAUGUUACAGACUCCAUGUGGGCCCUGGUCCAAGGUAGUGCACUAUAUAGGGAGUAGGUUCAUGUUACAGACUCCAUGUGG
ensembl:lncRNA